CCAAUGUGAAGGGACUUGAGCUGAGUGCUCUUUAGAAUGCAGAUAACAUGAAAGCAAAGAAAGUCCAGGGCUCUCUGAUGUCAGAGGCUGCCUACCUGCUCAGUCCUCGAUUGUACUUCACAGACAGCACCCAGUAACCCAUUUUAUUGUUCCUCGAGAGCCAUCUUCCCUGAGGGUCUGCCUCCCUCCUAUGUGUUUGUGGCCAAGAGCCCCACCGACCGUGUGAAGUUGGACCUGAUCAGAGUGCUCUCUCAGGACAGGCUGAAACAGUUCGUUGUGACAUUCAAUGGGCUGGACAAGUCUGCUACCUUCACCAUCACAACCAGCAGUGUCAUCAAGAAAGAACAGUGUGUCAUAUUCAAUGACCGAGGCAUUAAGAGRCUCUUCGACUCAGUGGCACCAGCUGAAGCUGCUCGUUAAACCCAAGUGUAUCAUCUGUUACCUGGACAACAUGUAGAUACAGGAGCAGCUACUAGAACCUGUAGUCCCCAUCUACAUUAACGGAAAGAUACAGGUUGCCAAGAAGGUCAAGAUGGAAGCAACUAUUCCUAUCGAGAUACGAAAAUUGAGGCUUUACUGCGAUCCUGAGCAAAUUGAGGAAGAGAUGGCGUGUGAUAUAUACUCUGUGGAGGAUGACAGGUGUCCCCUGGACAGACAACCUGUAGCAGUGGAGAGCUGUAACUGCCCCCAGGGGAAACCUGGGCCUCCUGGUCUUCCUGGGCCUAUUGUGAUUAAGUAAUACCAUGUUAGACUAGAAAAGUACAUUUCCAGAAGAAAAUGUGGUGUGCUUGCUAGCUUGUUUUAAAGUAUUUAUGGUUAUGAGGUAARUUAUAGUAGUGGUAGUGACUGCAAUAGAAAUGGUAGUGACUGGUUAUAGUUGAAAAAGUAGGUAGAUGAAGAGAUUGGUUGGUUGUUUGAUUUAUUUGGAUGGGAUAAGAUAGGAUAGCGUGAACAUUUGAAAGUUGUUUUUUUGUGUCUAGCUUGAGCGGUUCAAGAGUUACUGUUGGUGAGUUAUUUUCUGCAAAUGUAUGCACAUUUAUAUAGUUAUAGUUUAUAAAUGUUUGUAAGAAUUUUAUGUUAGGAUAGCCUGAACAUGUGAAAGAUGGUUUGGUGUCUUUAACUUGAACGGCUCAAUAAUUACUGUUGGUGAGUUAUUUUAUGCACGUUUAUAUAGUUCUAGUUGAAUACAUUUUUAAAGAAUUUAAAGUUAGGAUGGCCUGAACAUGUGAAAGUUGAUUUGGUUUAUUUCCAUUGAAAUGGAUUUGAUUUUAAAUAUUGUUGUAGUUCAAAAAGAAAAAAUACUAUCAAAAAUGUUUUCUGAAGCAAUCUAAGUUGGAGACGUAUGCACAUCUKAAAGUUUGUUUCGUGGUAAUAUCUUAAAGCGUUUAAGCGCAAGAGUGAGCCGAAUAAAUAAAACAAUUAUUUGACUAUGUAAGAAAUUUAAAGUUGCGCWWUGCCUUCAGCAAGCACACCAAUGUAAUUUUUUUUAGCCCYUUUUCUCCCCAAUUUCGUGUCUCAUUGCUGCAACUCCCAU